AGAGUUUGAUCCUGGCUCAGGACGAACGCUGGCGGCGUGCCUAAUACAUGCAAGUCGAGCGAGCUUGCCUAGAUGAUUUUAGUGCUUGCACUAAAUGAAACUAGAUACAAGCGAGCGGCGGACGGGUGAGUAACACGUGGGUAACCUGCCCAAGAGACUGGGAUAACACCUGGAAACAGAUGCUAAUACCGGAUAACAACACUAGACGCAUGUCUAGAGUUUGAAAGAUGGUUCUGCUAUCACUCUUGGAUGGACCUGCGGUGCAUUAGCUAGUUGGUAAGGUAACGGCUUACCAAGGCAAUGAUGCAUAGCCGAGUUGAGAGACUGAUCGGCCACAUUGGGACUGAGACACGGCCCAAACUCCUACGGGAGGCAGCAGUAGGGAAUCUUCCACAAUGGACGAAAGUCUGAUGGAGCAACGCCGCGUGAGUGAAGAAGGGUUUCGGCUCGUAAAGCUCUGCUGGUAGUGAAGAAAGAUAGAGGUAGUAACUGGCCUUUAUUUGACGGUAAUUACUUAGAAAGUCACGGCUAACUACGUGCCAGCAGCCGCGGUAAUACGUAGGUGGCAAGCGUUGUCCGGAUUUAUUGGGCGUAAAGCGAGUGCAGGCGGUUCAAUAAGUCUGAUGUGAAAGCCUUCGGCUCAACCGGAGAAUUGCAUCAGAAACUGUUGAACUUGAGUGCAGAAGAGGAGAGUGGAACUCCAUGUGUAGCGGUGGAAUGCGUAGAUAUAUGGAAGAACACCAGUGGCGAAGGCGGCUCUCUGGUCUGCAACUGACGCUGAGGCUCGAAAGCAUGGGUAGCGAACAGGAUUAGAUACCCUGGUAGUCCAUGCCGUAAACGAUGAGUGCUAAGUGUUGGGGAGUUUUCCGCCUCUCAGUGCUGCAGCUAACGCAUUAAGC
rnacentral:rRNA from 1 species